GGAAGGAUGCAGGAGUGGUUGAACUGGCACGCCUGGAACGCGUGUAGGGGCGCAAGCCUCUCGAGGGUUCGAAUCCCUCUCCUUCCGCCA
rnacentral:tRNA from 1 species